rnacentral:rRNA from 1 species
AGAUUGAACGCUGGCGGCAGGCCUAACACAUGCAAGUCGAGCGGCAGCACGGGUACUUGUACCUGGUGGCGAGCGGCGGACGGGUGAGUAAUGCCUAGGAAUCUGCCUGAUAGUGGGGGAUAACGUUCGGAAACGGACGCUAAUACCGCAUACGUCCUACGGGAGAAAGUGGGGGAUCUUCGGACCUCACGCUAUCAGAUGAGCCUAGGUCGGAUUAGCUAGUUGGUAGGGUAAAGGCCUACCAAGGCUACGAUCCGUAACUGGUCUGAGAGGAUGAUCAGUCACACUGGAACUGAGACACGUCCAGACUCCUACGGGAGCAGCAGGUGGGAAUAUUAGGACAAGUGGGACGAAAGGCCUGACUCCAGCCAUCGCCGCGUGUGUGAAGAGGUCGUUCGAUUAGUAAAGCUAACGUUUAAGGUUAGGGAAGG